rnacentral:rRNA from 6 species
UUAAGCGACUAAGCGUACACGGUGGAUGCCCUGGCAGUCAGAGGCGAUGAAGGACGUGCUAAUCUGCGAUAAGCGUCGGUAAGGUGAUAUGAACCGUUAUAACCGGCGAUUUCCGAAUGGGGAAACCCAGUGUGAUUCGUCACACUAUCAUUAACUGAAUCCAUAGGUUAAUGAGGCGAACCGGGGGAACUGAAACAUCUAAGUACCCCGAGGAAAAGAAAUCAACCGAGAUUCCCCCAGUAGCGGCGAGCGAACGGGGAGGAGCCCAGAGCCUGAAUCAGUGUGUGUGUUAGUGGAAGCGUCUGGAAAGGCGCGCGAUACAGGGUGACAGCCCCGUACACAAAAAUGCACAUGCUGUGAGCUCGAUGAGUAGGGCGGGACACGUGGUAUCCUGUCUGAAUAUGGGGGGACCAUCCUCCAAGGCUAAAUACUCCUGACUGACCGAUAGUGAACCAGUACCGUGAGGGAAAGGCGAAAAGAACCCCGGCGAGGGGAGUGAAAAAGAACCUGAAACCGUGUACGUACAAGCAGUGGGAGCCUCUUUAUGGGGUGACUGCGUACCUUUUGUAUAAUGGGUCAGCGACUUAUAUUCUGUAGCAAGGUUAACCGAAUAGGGGAGCCGAAGGGAAACCGAGUCUUAACUGGGCGUUAAGUUGCAGGGUAUAGACCCGAAACCCGGUGAUCUAGCCAUGGGCAGGUUGAAGGUUGGGUAACACUAACUGGAGGACCGAACCGACUAAUGUUGAAAAAUUAGCGGAUGACUUGUGGCUGGGGGUGAAAGGCCAAUCAAACCGGGAGAUAGCUGGUUCUCCCCGAAAGCUAUUUAGGUAGCGCCUCGUGAAUUCAUCUCCGGGGGUAGAGCACUGUUUCGGCAAGGGGGUCAUCCCGACUUACCAACCCGAUGCAAACUGCGAAUACCGGAGAAUGUUAUCACGGGAGACACACGGCGGGUGCUAACGUCCGUCGUGAAGAGGGAAACAACCCAGACCGCCAGCUAAGGUCCCAAAGUCAUGGUUAAGUGGGAAACGAUGUGGGAAGGCCCAGACAGCCAGGAUGUUGGCUUAGAAGCAGCCAUCAUUUAAAGAAAGCGUAAUAGCUCACUGGUCGAGUCGGCCUGCGCGGAAGAUGUAACGGGGCUAAACCAUGCACCGAAGCUGCGGCAGCGACGCUUAUGCGUUGUUGGGUAGGGGAGCGUUCUGUAAGCCUGCGAAGGUGUACUGUGAGGUAUGCUGGAGGUAUCAGAAGUGCGAAUGCUGACAUAAGUAACGAUAAAGCGGGUGAAAAGCCCGCUCGCCGGAAGACCAAGGGUUCCUGUCCAACGUUAAUCGGGGCAGGGUGAGUCGACCCCUAAGGCGAGGCCGAAAGGCGUAGUCGAUGGGAAACAGGUUAAUAUUCCUGUACUUGGUGUUACUGCGAAGGGGGGACGGAGAAGGCUAUGUUGGCCGGGCGACGGUUGUCCCGGUUUAAGCGUGUAGGCUGGUUUUCCAGGCAAAUCCGGAAAAUCAAGGCUGAGGCGUGAUGACGAGGCACUACGGUGCUGAAGCAACAAAUGCCCUGCUUCCAGGAAAAGCCUCUAAGCAUCAGGUAACAUCAAAUCGUACCCCAAACCGACACAGGUGGUCAGGUAGAGAAUACCAAGGCGCUUGAGAGAACUCGGGUGAAGGAACUAGGCAAAAUGGUGCCGUAACUUCGGGAGAAGGCACGCUGAUAUGUAGGUGAAGCGACUUGCUCGUGGAGCUGAAAUCAGUCGAAGAUACCAGCUGGCUGCAACUGUUUAUUAAAAACACAGCACUGUGCAAACACGAAAGUGGACGUAUACGGUGUGACGCCUGCCCGGUGCCGGAAGGUUAAUUGAUGGGGUUAGCGGUAACGCGAAGCUCUUGAUCGAAGCCCCGGUAAACGGCGGCCGUAACUAUAACGGUCCUAAGGUAGCGAAAUUCCUUGUCGGGUAAGUUCCGACCUGCACGAAUGGCGUAAUGAUGGCCAGGCUGUCUCCACCCGAGACUCAGUGAAAUUGAACUCGCUGUGAAGAUGCAGUGUACCCGCGGCAAGACGGAAAGACCCCGUGAACCUUUACUAUAGCUUGACACUGAACAUUGAGCCUUGAUGUGUAGGAUAGGUGGGAGGCUUUGAAGUGUGGACGCCAGUCUGCAUGGAGCCGACCUUGAAAUACCACCCUUUAAUGUUUGAUGUUCUAACGUUGGCCCCUAAUCGGGGUUGCGGACAGUGUCUGGUGGGUAGUUUGACUGGGGCGGUCUCCUCCUAAAGAGUAACGGAGGAGCACGAAGGUUGGCUAAUCCUGGUCGGACAUCAGGAGGUUAGUGCAAUGGCAUAAGCCAGCUUGACUGCGAGCGUGACGGCGCGAGCAGGUGCGAAAGCAGGUCAUAGUGAUCCGGUGGUUCUGAAUGGAAGGGCCAUCGCUCAACGGAUAAAAGGUACUCCGGGGAUAACAGGCUGAUACCGCCCAAGAGUUCAUAUCGACGGCGGUGUUUGGCACCUCGAUGUCGGCUCAUCACAUCCUGGGGCUGAAGUAGGUCCCAAGGGUAUGGCUGUUCGCCAUUUAAAGUGGUACGCGAGCUGGGUUUAGAACGUCGUGAGACAGUUCGGUCCCUAUCUGCCGUGGGCGCUGGAGAACUGAGGGGGGCUGCUCCUAGUACGAGAGGACCGGAGUGGACGCAUCACUGGUGUUCGGGUUGUCAUGCCAAUGGCACUGCCCGGUAGCUAAAUGCGGAAGAGAUAAGUGCUGAAAGCAUCUAAGCACGAAACUUGCCCCGAGAUGAGUUCUCCCUGACUCCUUGAGAGUCCUGAAGGAACGUUGAAGACGACGACGUUGAUAGGCCGGGUGUGUAAGCGCAGCGAUGCGUUGAGCUAACCGGUACUAAUGAACCGUGAGGCUUAACCUU